rnacentral:rRNA from 1 species
UACGGAGGGUGCAAGCGUUGUUCGGAUUUACUGGGCGUAAAGCGCGUGUAGGCGGACCGUUAAGUCAGGUGUGAAAUCCCUGGGCUCAACCCGGGAACUGCACUUGAAACUGGCGGCCUUGAGUACGGGAGAGGGAAGCGGAAUUCCGAAUGUAGAGGUGAAAUUCGUAGAUAUUCGGAGGAACACCGGUGGCGAAGGCGGCUUCCUGGACCGAUACUGACGCUGAGACGCGAAAGCGUGGGUAGCAAAC